UGAUUUUUCAAAUCGGUGUAUCUAACAUUUGGAUGGAUUCGAGAAAAAUGCGAUGCAAUAUAUUGUAAAGCAUUUUAAAUCCUAUUUAAAAUGUUUUGCAUUUUUUCUAUUGUUGUGUCUUCUACAAGUUGAAAAAAAAGAACACAGUUUCUAACCACUAUUAAACAAUUCCAAUUCGUUUUGAAUUAGAUUGAAAAACUGGUGAAAUUAUCGAAUAAACCCUUUUGCUUUGUGCUGCUCACAUACACCAUGAUGAUUCGUCGAUACCAUACCUUGAUUGAUACAUACACCUUGCUUGAUGCGUCGGUUUGACAGUUCGUUUUUCACAUGCGUCACGUCAUAUACACCAGUAUUGUUUUGAAGUUGCACAUACACCGGUUUGCAAAUUCCCUUAAAACCUAAUAGAGUUCGUUAAUUUGACAGUUUCUACGUUCAACUACAACGAAUAUUGGUUUGCGAAUGUUUCCAAUUUCAACUCGACUAACACGAGCACCGGACGGAGCUGUUAUAUUGAAGCGAUUAUAAGUGCCCAACAAAUUUGAAAAAGUAAUUGAUUCCAGUUGAAGAUAUUACUCGGUACUAGGCAACUCAACAAUUUAAUGCAAUGCUUGUUAGAGAGAGAAACGGAUGAAAUGCUGUAAUUUAAUGAUUCCUGCUACAAAUCAAAAUGUUGAAACGAUAAUAAGAUUCAUGGAGUAACAAUUUUCUUUAAA